rnacentral:sRNA from 1 species
AAUAAUACCAUAUUGACAGUUUCACCGUUUAGAACUGCUAUUUUUUGUUUUAAUGUUCGGCUUUAGAUUCAUGGACCACAAAUUGAACUGAGUGCCAAGGAAAGUUUGAGGUAGUGCUAUGUUCUCUGGUUUGGCUGCAGCCUCACUUCUCUGUCUUUCCUUCUAUUUAAGUGAUUCAAACAUUUGUUUCCUGCCUGCCUUUUGAGAAAAUUUGAGUUUGUGAACCCUGCUACAUGAGAAUUCCUAGCCCAAAUACCUUGGAUAUUGUUAGUACCUUCGAUAGAGGUAGAAAAAAAUCCAUUUAAUAUGAUAAGUUUGGUUUUACACAUGUUCAGUUAGAAAUGACAAAGUGUCUUGAAAAGGGGAUCUGGUCCUUGAAAAUUAGAGUGCACGAAUGUGAAAGCAGGUCAUGUAAUGGAAUUCAAGACUAGACCUUAGAUGUAAAAAGGGAAUAUGUAUUUAUAUUUGAAAAUUAGCAAUAAUGAGAUAGUAGGUAAAUCCACAAGAGUGGAAUUAUUCAUUCAACAGUAAUGUAUUAAUAAUAUGUUGAGCAUCUAUUAUGAGCCAGACAUGGACGUGCUGAAGGUAUAGUGGAGAACAAGACAGGUAAGCCCUCAGCUCUCAUGAAGUUGACCAUUGAAUGGCUGAAUACAGAGUGUACUCUCCCAGAAAUAGUAGAAAGCAUAAAAUAAUAAACAUCCAUGACUUGAGAUUUGGGAAACAUUGUCAGUUAAGAAGGUCAAAAAGUUUCACAUGUGUUUUAAAGAUAAACCAGUGUGAAAGUCAACUUAGUAAAAUCAAAAUGUCUGACCUGGGAGCCCAAAGUCCUGGGUUUCUAUCUCAGUUUUACAAUCAGUCAUACCACCAUAGACAAGACACAGCCCCUCUAAGUUUCACUGUUGAUAAAGCAAGCAAGUUGAUUGAGAUUGAUGGUUUUCAAACUACACAUCAUCAUGAUCCACUGAAAGCAAUUUAAAGUUUCACAGUCUAGCAUUUGUUAUUUAAAGAAAAAUGAAAUAAACAGAAUAGCAAAUAUUAACAUAUUGUUCACAGGAUGUUGCUUUGUGAAACUUUUCCAUUUUAUACAUCUGUGUGCAUAUGUGGCUGUGUGUAUCUAGUUGUGGUACCUUUUUUUUUUCCCUUUGAGAGAUACCAUCUCCCUUUGUUGCCCAAGCUGGAGUGCAAUGGUAUGAUCAUAGCUUUCUGCAGCUUCACCUGGGCUCAAGCUAUCUUCCCACCUCAGCCUCCUUAGUAGCUGGGACUAUAGGUGGUGUCACCACACUUGGCUUAUAUUUAAUUUUUUUUUAAAUGUAGAGGCUGGUCUCAAACUCCUGACCUCAAGUGAUCCUCCUUCCUAGGCCUCCCAAAACACUGGGAUUAUAGGCGUGAGCCACCAUGCCCAACCUGUUAUUUGCUUUGGUUUGUCCUAGUGGAACAUUUAGAAACACUGGAUUAAAAGACCUAUAAAGUCUUACUCAGAUCAUUGCUUAUAUGAUUUUUGUAAUUAUAUAAGCAGAUUAGGGUUAAGAAAACAUUUAAAAUGUCUUUUACUCUUUAAAACCAUAGUUUUUUAAUUGGAAAGUUAAAGAUUAUAUAUGGAUCUUUGAAAAACGGGAAACUGGAUGGGAAAGGAAAAAUUACUUAAAAUUUUAUUCAUCUUUCGAAAAUAUAAGUGACAGGAAUAGCUUCAAAGAGGUUUUCAGAAUAAGAGAGUCUUAUGUAAUACCAAAGUAUUACACAGAUUAUGAAAAUAAUAGUUUUUGUUCUCGAGUUACUCAGUAAAUAUGUGAGCUUAGAUGAUUUCUGAGGAUGUUAAUACUCUACCUCAUAAAUAGGAGAAAAUGCUUGUUUUGGUGGCCAAAGUUUUAGAAAAUUUGGGAUAUUACACAAAUUAAGGCAUUACCACUCUUAGUUUACCUUUUAUUGAUGGUUGUAUGUGUUCCUCUUUAACUUUUCACUUUUAAAAGUGAUGAUAAAAUGUGUUUUAUUACUCCAAUUUGAUUAUUUUUGCAUAUGUAAAUUAAUCUGUUUUAGUGAAAUGAUAUGAGUAUUUACAAACUGAAUCUAAGUUUCAUUUCACAUCACAUGAAUGGCUCAAACAUAUUUUUAAGGUAUGUGAUAGUGGAAUGUGAAGAUCAAGAUACUCAGCAGAGAGAUCCAAAGACCCAUGAGAUGUACUUGAAUGUAAUGAGAAGAUUCAGCCAAGCAUUGUUGAAGGGUGAUAAGUCUGUCAGAGUUAUGCGUUCUUUGCUGGCUGCACAACAGACAUUUGUAGAUCGGUUGGUGCAUCUAAUGAAGGCAGUACAACGCGAAAGUGGAAAUCGUAAGAAAAAGAAUGAGAGACUACAGGCAUUGCUUGGAGAUAAUGAAAAGAUGAAUUUGUCAGAUGUGGAACUUAUCCCGUUGCCUUUAGAACCCCAAGUGAAAAUUAGAGGAAUAAUUCCGGAAACAGCUACACUUUUUAAAAGUGCCCUUAUGCCUGCACAAUUGUUUUUUAAGACAGAAGAUGGAGGCAAAUAUCCGGUUAUAUUUAAGCAUGGAGAUGAUUUACGUCAAGAUCAACUUAUUCUUCAAAUCAUUUCACUCAUGGACAAGCUGUUACGGAAAGAAAAUCUGGACUUGAAAUUGACACCUUAUAAGGUGUUAGCUACCAGUACAAAACAUGGCUUCAUGCAGUUUAUCCAGUCAGUUCCUGUGGCUGAAGUUCUUGAUACAGAGGGAAGCAUUCAGAACUUUUUUAGAAAAUAUGCACCAAGUGAGAAUGGGCCAAAUGGGAUUAGUGCUGAGGUCAUGGACACUUACGUUAAAAGCUGUGCUGGAUAUUGCGUGAUCACCUAUAUACUUGGAGUUGGAGACAGGCACCUGGAUAACCUUUUGCUAACAAAAACAGGCAAACUCUUCCACAUAGACUUUGGAUAUAUUUUGGGUCGGGAUCCGAAGCCUCUUCCUCCACCAAUGAAGCUGAAUAAAGAAAUGGUAGAAGGAAUGGGGGGCACACAGAGUGAGCAGUACCAAGAGUUCCGUAAACAGUGUUACACGGCUUUCCUCCACCUGCGAAGGUAUUCUAAUCUGAUUUUGAACUUGUUUUCCUUGAUGGUUGAUGCAAACAUUCCAGAUAUUGCACUUGAACCAGAUAAAACUGUGAAAAAGGUUCAGGAUAAAUUCCGUUUAGACCUGUCAGAUGAAGAGGCUGUGCAUUACAUGCAGAGUCUGAUUGAUGAGAGUGUCCAUGCUCUUUUUGCUGCAGUGGUGGAACAGAUUCACAAGUUUGCCCAGUACUGGAGAAAAUGAAACUGGAAUUGACCCAUCAAGAUGCUUGGCUCAAUAAGAAAACCACGUUAGGAACAACGUGUGUACAUUGGAGACUUCAGAGUAACCAGCAAGGAAGAGAAAACUUAAUCUUCAAGUUACCAUAUUUUCCAAAUAUUACAUGGUACCUGAGUUCUGCUUCCUUGGAUGUCAUUGCUUAAAUAUAGUCUUGAAGGGUUUGUUUCGAAAUAUUGUAUAUAUUUUUUCAAAUGUGUACAUUGUUAAUAAAUUAAGAAAUGAGAAACAUUCUUAUUUAUGUACGUGUUAGGAGAGUUCUGGAGGAAGUAAUAUGUUGAAAUAGUAAAACAUUUUAGUUUUUGAGUU